rnacentral:misc_RNA from 1 species
CUGCACCUCAAAUCGGAUUGGAUAUCCGUCUGUUUAUAAUAGAUGUGACGCCCCUUGCGGAUGAUGAGGAUUAUGAAGAUAUUAAAGAUGAGUUGGCAGAGUU